rnacentral:rRNA from 1 species
AACAAACGCUGGCGGCGUGCUUAACACAUGCAAGUCGAGCGGACAGAAGGGAGCUUGCUCCCGGAAGUUAGCGGCGGACGGGUGAGUAACACGUGGGCAACCUACCCUGUAGAUCGGGAUAACAUCGAGAAAUCGGUGCUAAUACCGGAUAAUCAUUUGAAGCGCAUGCUUCGAAUGUAAAAGAUGGCUCCGGCUAUCACUACGGGAUGGGCCCGCGGCGCAUUAGCUAGUUGGUAAGGUAAUGGCUUACCAAGGCAACGAUGCGUAGCCGACCUGAGAGGGUGAUCGGCCACACUGGGACUGAGACACGGCCCAGACUCCUACGGGAGGCAGCAGUAGGGAAUCUUCCGCAAUGGACGAAAGUCUGACGGAGCAACGCCGCGUGAGUGAUGAAGGUUUUCGGAUCGUAAAGCCCUGUUGUUAGGGAAGAACAAGUGCCGUUUGAAUAAGGCGGCACCUUGACGGUACCUAACCAGAAAGCCACGGCUAACUACGUGCCAGCAGCCGCCGUAACAC